AAUGGGGGCAACCCUGAUCUAGCCAUGCCGCGUGAGUGAUGAAGGCCUUAGGGUCGUAAAGCUCUUUCGCCUGUGAUGAUAAUGACAGUAGCAGGUAAAGAAACCCCGGCUAACUCCGUGCCAGCAGCCGCGGUAAUACGGAGGGGGUUAGCGUUGUUCGGAAUUACUGGGCGUAAAGCGCGCGUAGGCGGAUUAGAAAGUUGGGGGUGAAAUCCCGGGGCUCAACCCCGGAACUGCCCCCAAAACUGCUAGUCUAGAGUUCGAGAGAGGUGAGUGGAAUUCCGAGUGUAGAGGUGAAAUUCGUAGAUAUUCGGAGGAACACCAGUGGCGAAGGCGGCUCACUGGCUCGAUACUGACGCUGAGGUGCGAAAGUGUGGGGAGCAAACAGGAUU
rnacentral:rRNA from 1 species